AGUUCUGCACAUUUCCUGAAUUCCUCUGUGAAGGAAUUUCCGAAAGAAUUUUCUCUAUAUGAUUUUCACACCUCUACUGAAGUUUGGAACCUAAUUCCAACCCAUCUCCAUAAGAUGAGCAUCCACUGCAAUCACUCAUGUUCAGGAAUUGAGAAUACUUUAGUACAAACUGUACCUGAGCCAUAUGAAAAACUAUCUUCAGCAGGUUGUGUAAUGAGUGUGUAACAAUGACAAGGGACAUUUAUUCACCUUAAAACGUGUUGUCCUUUAGCCACUGUCUCCUGCUACAGGGGUUGCCCUUGGCAAGAAAGUCACUUUCAUUAGGGCUCACACAGGCAAGACUCCUUCAUUUGACAGCUGAUAGGUAAGUAUUGCAGGCCUUGGCCUUUGUGACUGUCCCUAAAUAGCCCUGCAGGUUGGAUAAGUCUGCCCAAUUCUGGGGAUCAUUAGUAGGAAGCUGACUGGCAAGCCAGUCUAAGUCACAUUCUUCAAUAUCAGCUUUAUAGGAAUAACGUUGUUAUGAUGUUUUAUAUUUUGGUCCCAUAUCUCAGGUUUGGAGCAUCAGUGUCUUUUGGGUGCUCCUUAAAGACAUAAGAAUUGUGAAGUAAAAAGGAAUAUUUGGAGCAAUAAAAACACAAAAAGUGGUCUGGGGAUAUAACUCAGUGGUGGAGUAUUUAUCUAGCAUGUGAAGGCCCUGGGUUUCAUCCCCAACACUGAAAAAGAAAAAGGAAGAAAGAAAGACAAAACAAAUCAAGAGAAGAGCUGUGGGCCCAUUUUAAGAUCCACACAGAGGGUAGAGAACAAGUGCUCCUCAAGGGCAGGUGACUACCAAGACUCUUGAGGGAAGAGACCCUGGAUGUACAACCCCUAUUUAUCUUCCCAAACCAAGUCAUUCAUGUGAUGGAGAAGGAGUGAAUAUACAGAGAGGGAGAUGUGUUUUUGUCAUGGGUGUCUUUCCACAUUGAAGAAAAUAUCAGGUAUAGAGAUGAAGAAUUCCUCAGGAUUAACCAAUAUUGAAAAGAGUAUUAUUUCUCAACUGAAGAGAUUGUUAUUCUACUCCUGCCUCCCUGAAAUAACUCAGAUUUCCAAAUGAUAAAUUUUGUGUUUUUUAGUUCAUAGAGUUGAGUAAUUAUGAGCCGUAUCUUAGUUUUCCAAGAGAUGGAUAACUGUUCAGAAUGGUGUAUUUUAUGUGCUCACCUAUAGAAGGCUACCUCAUCACCAGGAUCCCUAGGAGAUAUUCUUGGGAAUUUGUGUGCUGGUGCUAUUUCCCUAAGUGUAACUUUUAUUUUAAAAGUUCUCUUUUUGUGUGUGU
rnacentral:lncRNA from 1 species